CACUAAAGUAUCCGCCCGAGAACUACGAGCACAAACGCUUAAAACUCUAAGGACUUGGCGGUGCUCCAAAUCCACCUAGAGGAGCCUGUUCUGUAAUCGAUAACCCACGAUAUACCUAACCCCUUCUUGCCCAUAGCAGCCUACAUACCGCCGUCCCCAGCUCACCUCUCCUGAGAGCCCUAACAGUGAGCACAACAGCAUUCCCCCUAAUAAGACAGGUCAAGGUAUAGCCCAUGAAGGGGAAGAAAUGGGCUACAUUUUCUAAAAUAGAAAACCCACGGAAAGAAGCCUGAAAGAACUUCCAGAAGGAGGAUUUAGCAGUAAAG
rnacentral:rRNA from 1 species